rnacentral:rRNA from 1 species
AUUGAACGCUGGCGGCAUGCUUUACACAUGCAAGUCGAACGGCAGCACGGGGCAACCUGGUGGCGAGUGGCGAACGGGUGAGUAAUAUAUCGGAACGUACCCAGAAGUGGGGGAUAACGUAGCGAAAGUUACGCUAAUACCGCAUACGAUCUACGGAUGAAAGUGGGGGACCUUCGGGCCUCAUGCUUUUGGAGCGGCCGAUAUCUGAUUAGCUAGUUGGCGAGGUAAAGGCUCACCAAGGCGACGAUCAGUAGCUGGUCUGAGAGGACGACCAGCCACACUGGGACUGAGACACGGCCCAGACUCCUACGGGAGGCAGCAGUGGGGAAUUUUGGACAAUGGGCGCAAGCCUGAUCCAGCAAUGCCGCGUGAGUGAAGAAGGCCCUCGGGUUGUAAAGCUCUUUUGUCAGGGAAGAAACGGCCUGGGUUAAUACCUUGGGCUAAUGACGGUACCUGAAGAAUAAGCACCGGCUAACUACGUGCCAGCAGCCGCGGUAAUACGUAGGGUGCAAGCGUUAAUCGGAAUUACUGGGCGUAAAGCGUGCGCAGGCGGUUUUGUAAGUCUGUCGUGAAAGCCCCGGGCUUAACCUGGGAAUUGCGAUGGAGACUGCAAGGCUUGAAUCUGGCAGAGGGGGGUAGAAUUCCACGUGUAGCAGUGAAAUGCGUAGAGAUGUGGAGGAACACCGAUGGCGAAGGCAGCCCCCUGGGUCAAGAUUGACGCUCAUGCACGAAAGCGUGGGGAGCAAACAGGAUUAGAUACCCUGGUAGUCCACGCCCUAAACGAUGUCUACUAGUUGUCGGGUUUUAAUUAACUUGGUAACGCAGCUAACGCGUGAAGUAGACCGCCUGGGGAGUACGGUCGCAAGAUUAAAACUCAAAGGAAUUGACGGGGACCCGCACAAGCGGUGGAUGAUGUGGAUUAAUUCGAUGCAACGCGAAAAACCUUACCUACCCUUGACAUGUACGGAAGCCUUGAGAGAUCAGGGUGUGCUCGAAAGAGAGCCGUAACACAGGUGCUGCAUGGCUGUCGUCAGCUCGUGUCGUGAGAUGUUGGGUUAAGUCCCGCAACGAGCGCAACCCUUGUCAUUAGUUGCUACGAAAGAGCACUCUAAUGAGACUGCCGGUGACAAACCGGAGGAAGGUGGGGAUGACGUCAAGUCCUCAUGGCCCUUAUGGGUAGGGCUUCACACGUCAUACAAUGGUACAUACAGAGGGCCGCCAACCCGCGAGGGGGAGCUAAUCCCAGAAAGUGUAUCGUAGUCCGGAUCGCAGUCUGCAACUCGACUGCGUGAAGUUGGAAUCGCUAGUAAUCGCGGAUCAGCAUGUCGCGGUGAAUACGUUCCCGGGUCU